AGAAGAAGAAGGAGGAGGCAGUGAAGAAAGUGAUUGCAUCGAUGACCGUGGGCAAAGAUGUCAGGGGAGUCCGGCCAGCUUGAGCUACGCGGAUCCUGAGCGUGAUCCCGGGUAGGCGUUUGCCCCGGUGGAACGCCUCGUCAGAGCAGUGCACGGCAGGCCCCCGCAGAGGAUCAACGCAGUGGCUGAGCAACGGGAAGGAACUGGCGCUUGGAGUCCGGAUAUCUGGAACACGAAUCGUUUGCUGCUCUGAUCCUAGCAUACAUUUAAGGUUACUUCCUGGGCAUCUGCAUAAGGGCCAGUCACUGUGUGGGGCUGGGGAUAUGACCAUGAGGACAAUAUCCAGGUCCAGAGGGAUUCCAGCAGGGGGCGUUCUUGCACCCAGUGGAAGAGCAUGGCCCUGCACACCCUGUCUAGACAAGAUCAGAGCGGCAGGAGCAGAGAGGUAGGGGCAACUCGCUGUCCUCAGGAGCUCACCCUCAUCUCCAGGGACCCUGAAUCAUAA